rnacentral:rRNA from 1 species
GGAUUCCCCUAGUAACGGCGAGUGAAGAGGGAAGAGCCCAAGAUUGAAAGCUGGCGCCUUCGGCGUCCGCAUUGUAAUCUCAAGAAGUGUUUUCCGCUUCGGACCGAGCCUAAGUCCCUUGGAAAAGGGCAUCGUAGAGGGUGAGAAUCCCGUACAUGGCUCGGAGCGCCCGAGGCUUUGUGAUACACUCUCAAAGAGUCGAGUUGUUUGGGAAUGCAGCUCAAAAUGGGUGGUAAAUGCCAUCUAAGGCUAAAUAUUGGGGAGAGACCGAUAGCGAACAAGUACCGUGAGGGAAAGAUGAAAAGAACUUUGAAAAGAGAGUUAAACAGUACGUGAAAUUGCCAAAAGGGAAGGGUAGGAGGUCAGAGAUGCGGUCUGGGAUUCAGCCUUGCUUUUGCUUGGUGUUUUUCCCAGUUUGCAGGCCAACGUCGGUUUUGGGCGCUGGAGAAGGGUGGGAGGAACGUGGCACCCCUCGGGGUGUGUUAUAGCCUCCUACUGGAUACAGUGACCGGGACCGAGGACAGCAGCGUACUCGCAAGAGCGGGCCUUCGGGCACCUUUACGCUUAG